rnacentral:lncRNA from 1 species
UCUGCUAUGGUCUAAAGAUGACACGGCUGGGAGGAAGAACAGCCAGAAGGGCUUUGGUUACCAUUUGUUGAGUCUGGGAAGAAGCUAGAUGCAAAAAAAAAAGAGAAGUUGUAGAAAGGGGCAUCAUCCAGACUAGUGAGAAGUGGUAGGACUAGAACUUAAAGGCUUUGAGAACUGUAGAACUUGAUGAUUAAAACAAAUGUACGGAAGUAAACAUCUUGAAAGGUGUGCAACAAGUUUUAUGACACAUCUCUCAGGCAAAAUAUUCCAAAUUGCCAUAGAUUUGUUUGCAAUAGUAUGUCUGGAUGUGUGGGAAGCUCUGACUGAGGACAUGUCCUAUGGCACAUUCUAGACCUGUUCUGUACAAUUAAUCAAUUUAAUCUCUGAGGCAACUGUUUCAUCACUAGAACAAAUAAACCAAGACUGUAUCGCAUUUUGGAUUCAUGAACUGCUCUGGUUGUAGGGUACCAAGUUAUCUGUGGUAAAGGAAUAUGAGUAAGACUCAUCUGAAAUACAAAAUGCUGUGAUGCAGGAACACGUUUGGAAACAUCAGAGUGGAAAUGACUGUGAGUCCCUGUUCUUUAAAAGUUGGACCAGUGACUUGCUUUGAAUCACGUUGCUAUCAAACAGCAGAGACAAAUCAUCGUGAUGCAAACAGCAUUUUUAUAUAAAUGUGACAAGGUUCUGCUUGUUCCUGACAGUAUCCAGUGCACGUCUCAUGCCACCUUCUCAGUCAGCAGCACAGCCUGAGGCUUCUCAUGGGGGAAGCUGGAAAAACAAUAACAUGCUCAUCACAUUACACCUCUCAGGAGCAGUGCUGAAUCCUUGGGGUGGCACUGUGUGUACCUGCACUGAUGUUCUGCAAGGGCUGGGAGAAACUUGUGAGAGAAGCACGCUGGUCAAGGCCGCCAUGUAUGGAACUGUGAGACCUCAGAAAUGAUGUGCAGCUUGCCUUUAGUUCCAUGUGUGUUUGAAGACAGGAUGAGAUUUGACUUGAGAGGUGACUUCACAGCAUUUUGAAAGCAUUUGUCAGUGCUGAUUGUACUUGUAGCUUGUUUGCUUUUACAAAAUGCGGUGUCCUAGAUGGACAUUUUUAAAGACCAAUUUGAGAAAAGAUGUAGCUGGAAGCACAUAAAUAAACACGAACUCUAUGUUUUUCUAUCUGAGAAU